rnacentral:rRNA from 1 species
UACGUAGGGUCCAAGCGUUAUCCGGAAUCACUGGGCGUAAAGCGUGCGUAGGUGGCGUGUUAAGUGUGAUGUUAAAUCGUGUGGCUCAACCAUAUCGAUGUGUCGCAUACUGGCAUGCUAGAGGACGGCAGAGGCAAGUGGAAUUGGUAGUGUAGCAGUGAAAUGCGUAGAUAUUACCAGGAACACCAAUGGCGAAGGCAGCUUGCUGGGCCACUCCUGACACUGAGGUACGAAAGCGUGGGGAGCGAACAGG